rnacentral:ncRNA from 12 species
CCCUUCAUGCCUAUCAACGAUGCACAAACAGAAGGGG